rnacentral:rRNA from 1 species
GACGAACGCUGGCGGCGCGCUUAACACAUGCAAGUCGAGCGAGAACCAGGGCUUCGGCCCUGGGGACAGCGGCGAACGGGUGAGUAACACGUGGAUAACCUGCCCUCGGCACCGGGAUAGCCCGGGGAAACCCGGAUUAAUACCGGAUGGCCCUUCCGGCUCACGAGCCGGUCGGAAAAGGUAGCUUCGGCCUCCGGCCGAGGACGGGUCCGCGGCGGAUUAGCUUGUUGGUGGGGUAACGGCCCACCAAGGCUCCGAUCCGUAGCUGGUCUGAGAGGACGAUCAGCCACACUGGGACUGAGACACGGCCCAGACUCCUACGGGAGGCAGCAGUGGGGAAUCUUGCGCAAUGGGCGAAAGCCUGACGCAGCGACGCCGCGUGAGGGAGGAAGGCCUUCGGGUUGUAAACCUCUUUCAGGAGGGACGAAGCUACUCGGGUGAAUAGCCCAGAGGGUGACGGUACCUCCAGAAGAAGCCCCGGCUAACUACGUGCCAGCCGCCGCGGUAAUAC